rnacentral:rRNA from 1 species
UACGGGGGGGGCAAGCGUUGUUCGGAAUUACUGGGCGUAAAGGGCUCGUAGGCGGCCAACUAAGUCAGACGUGAAAUCCCUCGGCUUAACCGGGGAACUGCGUCUGAUACUGGAUGGCUUGAGGUUGGGAGAGGGAUGCGGAAUUCCAGGUGUAGCGGUGAAAUGCGUAGAUAUCUGGAGGAAUACCGAUGGCGAAGGCAGCCUCCUGGGCCAACACUGACGCUCAUGCACGAAAGCGUGGGGAGCAAACAGG